rnacentral:rRNA from 1 species
GCAUAUAAGAGGAAAGGAGCAAUCCGCAUAUAGAUGGGUCCGCGUCCCAUUAGCUAGUUGGAGGUGUAAGAGACCCCCAAGGCGACGAUGGGUAGCCGGCCUGAGAGGGUGGACGGCCACACUGGAACUGAGACACGGUCCAGACUCCUACGGGAGGCAGCAGUGGGGAAUCUUCCGCAAUGGGCGAAAGCCUGACGGAGCAACGCCGCGUGAGUGAAGAAGGCCUUCGGGUCGUAAAACUCUGUCUUCAGGGAAGAAAAAAAUGACGGUACCUGAGGAGGAAGCCCCGGCUAACUACGUGCCAGCAGCCGCGGUAAAACGUAGGGGGCGAGCGUUGUCCGGAAUUACUGGGCGUAAAGGGCGCGUAGGCGGUCAUUUAAGUCAGAGGUGAAAACUACCGGCUCAACCGGUAGCCUGCCUUUGAAACUGGAUGACUUGAGGGCAGGAGAGGGGAGUGGAAUUCCCAGUGUAGCGGUGAAAUGCGUAGAUAUUGGGAGGAACACCAGUGGCGAAGGCGGCUCUCUGGCCUGUUUCUGACGCUGAGGCGCGAAAGCGUGGGGAGCGAACGGGAUUAGAUACCCCGGUAGUCCACGCCGUAAACGAUGGGUGCUAGGUGUAGGAGGUAUCGACCCCUUCUGUGCCGUAGCUAACGCAAUAAGC